rnacentral:rRNA from 2 species
AUUGAGAGUUUGAUCCUGGCUCAGGAUUAACGCUGGCGGCGUGCCUUAAGCAUGCAAGUCAAGGGAGUCCCGAUUUAUCGGGACGACCGGCGGACGGGUGAGUAACGCGUGGGAAUCUACCUUAGAGUGAAGCAUAGCCUCUCGAAAGAGGGGGUAAUUCUUCAUAACAUCGCAAGAUUAAAGUCGCAAGACGCUUUAAGAUGAGCCCGCGUCCUAUCAGCUAGUUGGUGGGGUAAUGGCCUACCAAGGCGACGACGGGUAGCUGGUCUGAGAGGAUGGUCAGCCACAACGGGACUGCGACACGGCCCGUACAUCUACGGAUGGCAGCAACUGGGAAUAUUCGGCAAUGGGCGAAAGCCUGACCGAGCGACGCCGCGUGGAGGAUUGAAGGCCCUCGGGUUGUAAACUCCUUUUGUCUGGGAAGAUUAUGACGGUACCAGAAGAAUAAGCACCUGCAAACUACGUGCCAGAAGCCUCGGUAAUACGUAGGGUGCGAGCGUUAUCCGGAUUUAUUGGGCGUAAAGAGUUGCGUAGGCUGUAUGACGCAUUCUGUUUGAAAUCCAGAAGCCUAACUUUUGGUUCGGAUAGAAUAUGGUCAUGCUUGAUGGUAUGAGAGGGCGCUGGAACCGACUGUGUAGCAGUGAAAUGCGUUGAUAUAGUCGGGAACACCGAAGGCGUAGGCAUGCGCCUGGCAUACACAUGACGCUGAGGCACGAAAGCUGGGGGAGCGAAAUCGAUUAGAGACCGAUGUAGUCCCAGCCGUAAACUAUCCCUGCUAGAUUCUCGUCCCGCCUUUGGCGGGGUGAGUGUCGAAGCUAACGCGUUAAGCAGGGCGCCUGGGGAGUACGAGCGCAAGCUUAAAACUCAAAGGAAUUGACGGGGACCUGCACAAGCAGUGGAGCGUGUGGUUUAAUUCGAUACAAAACGAAAAACCUCACCAGGGUUUGACAUGCAACUGCAAAGUCCGAGAAAUCGGACCUCCUUCGAGGGUGUUGCACAGAUGCUGCAUGGCUGUCAUCAGUUCGUGGCGUGAGCUGUUUCCUUAAGUGGAUAAACGAACGCAACCCGCAUCGUAUGUUAAAUAUUCAUACGAAACAGUCCGCCUUUUGGCGGAAGGAAGGCGCGGAUGAUGUCAAGUCCGCACGGCUCUUACACCCUGGGCUACACACACACUACAAUGGGUGAGACAACGAGCUACUACCUGGUAACAGGAAGUUAAUCUCUUAAACUCAUCCUCAGUUCAGAUUGAGGUCUGCAAUUUGACCUCAUGAAGACGGAAUUGCUAGUAAUCGCGGAUCAGCAUGCCGCGGUGAAUACGUUCUCAGGUCUUGUACACACCGCCCGUCAAGGCAGGAAAGUUGGGGGCACCUGAAAUACACGAUUGUGGACUAAGGUGAAACCAGCAAUCAGGCUUAAGUCGUAACAAGGUAUCCCUAGCCGAAGCUGGGGAUGGAUCACCUCCUUUCU